AACGAACGCUGGCGGCAUGCCUAACACAUGCAAGUCGAACGAGACCUUCGGGUUUAGUGGCGCACGGGUGCGUAACGCGUGGGAACCUGCCCUUAGGUUCGGAAUAACUCCCCGAAAGGGGUGCUAAUACCGGAUAAUGUCUUCGGACCAAAGACUUAUCGCCUUUGGAUGGGCCCGCGUUGGAUUAGCUAGUUGGUAGGGUAAAAGCCUACCAAGGCGACGAUCCAUAGCUGGUCUGAGAGGAUGAUCAGCCACAUUGGGACUGAGACACGGCCCAGACUCCUACGGGAGGCAGCAGUGGGGAAUAUUGGACAAUGGGCGAAAGACUGAUGCAGCAAUGCCGCGUGAAUGAUGAAGGCCUUAGGGUUGUAAAGCUCUUUUACCCGGGAUGAUAAUGACAGUACCGGGAGAAUAAGCUCCGGCUAACUCCGUG
rnacentral:rRNA from 1 species